UUGGAAAUGGGAAUUAGAGAUGAGCAGCACCAGGAGAAACAUCAGGCAGGAUUCCUCUGAACCAGUCACCCUUAAUCUCUUUUACAGAGUUUUGCAAAUUCUAUAUUUGUGGAGCAGGGUUUGUCCCCAGGGAAUAAAUGCCAUAAUCCUCUGCGCUGAGCUCCAAAGUCCUUUGCUAACACUUGGACAGGUGGAGGGAUGAAUUCACACAAGUUCAAGAUAUUUAUGUGCUGCUUUAAAAAUACACAUUGAAGUUCUAACAGGCCUGUGAAGUUUGACUUUUCAUUUUUAUAAAAGAAUUCUUUUAAAAUUCUUAUAAAAUCUGUGUAAGAUAUUUCAGAAGGUGGAGUGAUUCAGAGUGAAAUUCAAACCUAAAUCUAAAUUUUCUAGUGCAAUCACACCCAGGCUUAGCACAGGCCUGUUUUGUUGUUUUAUUUGUUUUUUUCCUGAGCUACUGCUGAAAAUGCCAAGCCAGCACGGC
rnacentral:lncRNA from 1 species